GACGAACGCUGGCGGCGUGCCUAAUACAUGCAAGUUGAGCGCUGAAGGUUGGUACUUGUACCAACUGGAUGAGCAGCGAACGGGUGAGUAACGCGUGGGGAAUCUGCCUUUGAGCGGGGGACAACAUUUGGAAACGAAUGCUAAUACCGCAUAAAAACUUUAAACACAAGUUUUAAGUUUGAAAGAUGCAAUUGCAUCACUCAAAGAUGAUCCCGCGUUGUAUUAGCUAGUUGGUGAGGUAAAGGCUCACCAAGGCGAUGAUACAUAGCCGACCUGAGAGGGGGAUCGGCCACAUUGGGACUGAGACACGGCCCAAACUCCUACGGGAGGCAGCAGUAGGGAAUCUUCGGCAAUGGACGAAAGUCUGACCGAGCAACGCCGCGUGAGUGAAGAAGGUUUUCGGAUCGUAAAACUCUGUUGGUAGAGAAGAACGUUGGUGAGAGUGGAAAGCUCAUCAAGUGACGGUAACUACACAGAAAGGGACGGCUAACUACGUG
rnacentral:rRNA from 1 species